UACGGAGGGGGCGAGCGUUAUUCGGAAUUAUUGGGCGUAAAGGGCGUGUAGGCGGCUGGGCAAGUCAAAGGUGAAAUCCCUCGGCUCAACUGAGGAACUGCCUUUGAAACUGCCUGGCUUGAGGCCGGGAGGGGGUAGCGGAAUUCCCAGUGUAGCGGUGAAAUGCGUAGAUAUUGGGAGGAACACCAGUGGCGAAGGCGGCUACCUGGACCGGUUCUGACGCUGAUGCGCGAAAGCGUGGGGAGCAAACAGG
rnacentral:rRNA from 1 species